UCUUUCAGAAGUUUUUGAGAAUCAGCCGGAGAAGAUACAGAGAUGGCGCUGUUAAAACUGUUGGUGAUCUUAGCUGUGAUUGGAGCUGUCGUUUGCGACCACGAUUAUAC